rnacentral:rRNA from 1 species
GGGUGAGUAAUGCCUAGGAAUCUGCCUGGUAGUGGGGGAUAACGUUCGGAAACGGACGCUAAUACCGCAUACGUCCUACGGGAGAAAGCAGGGGACCUUCGGGCCUUGCGCUAUCAGAUGAGCCUAGGUCGGAUUAGCUAGUUGGUGGGGUAAUGGCUCACCAAGGCGACGAUCCGUAACUGGUCUGAGAGGAUGAUCAGUCACACUGGAACUGAGACACGGUCCAGACUCCUACGGGAGGCAGCAGUGGGGAAUAUUGGACAAUGGGCGAAAGCCUGAUCCAGCCAUGCCGCGUGUGUGAAGAAGGUCUUCGGAUUGUAAAGCACUUUAAGUUGGGAGGAAGGGCAGUUACCUAAUACGUGAUUGUUUUGACGUUACCGACAGAAUAAGCACCGGCUAACUCUGUGC